AAUGAACGUUGGCGGCGUGGAUUAGGCAUGCAAGUCGUACGCCCCGCGAGGGGCGUGGCGCAAGGGUGAGUAAGGCGACGGCAACCAACCCGGGAGCCGGACAUAGCCGCGGGAAACUGCGGGUAAUAUCCGGCGCCGUCGGGGAGGGGCAUCCCCCCCCGACGAAAGGUGCGAUUCCGCUCCUGGACGGGCCGUCGUGGUAUUAGGUAGUUGGCGGGGUAAUGGCCCACCAAGCCUGCGAUGCCUACCGGGCGUGCGAGCGUGGCCCGGCACACUGGGACUGAGACACUGCCCAGACACCUACGGGUGGCUGCAGUCGAGAAUCUUCGGCAAUGGGCGCAAGCCUGACCGAGCGACGCCGCGUGGAGGAUGAAGGCCUUCGGGUUGUAAACUCCCGUCGAGGGGGAACAAGGUGCGGUGCAGAGCCGUGCUUGAGUGAUCCCUGGAGGAAGCACGGGCUAAGUUCGUGCCAGCAGCCGCGGUAACAC
rnacentral:rRNA from 1 species